rnacentral:rRNA from 1 species
CAGUAGCCGCGGUAAUACGGAGGGUGCAAGCGUUAAUCGGAAUUACUGGGCGUAAAGCGUGCGUAGGCGGUUCGUUAAGUCUGUUGUGAAAGCCCCGGGCUCAACCUGGGAAUGGCAAUGGAUACUGGCGAGCUAGAGUGUGUCAGAGGAUGGUGGAAUUCCCGGUGUAGCGGUGAAAUGCGUUGAGAUCGGAAGGAACGCCCGUGGCGAAAGCGGGCUCCUGGACCCCACCUGACGCUGAGACGCGAAAGCCAGGGGAGCGAACGGGAUUAGAUACCCGAGUAGUCCCUGUCUCUUAUAA